UACAGAGGGUGCAAACGUUGUUCGGAAUUACUGGGCGUAAAGCGCGUGUAGGCGGUUAUGCAAGUCGGGUGUGAAAGCCCGGAGCUCAACUCCGGAAGUGCAUUCGAUACUGCGUAGCUAGAGUACUGGAGAGGAUGGUGGAACUCUCGGUGUAGAGGUGAAAUUCGUAGAUAUCGAGAAGAACACCGGUGGCGAAGGCGGCCAUCUGGACAGAUACUGACGCUGAGGCACGAAGGCCAGGGGAGCAAACGGG
rnacentral:rRNA from 1 species